UAAAUAUUAUGUGUAUGACUACUGCAACUCACUAUACUGUGGUAGUUCUAAGUCAUCAAUCGAUCGCCUUCAACUAGUUCAAAAUGCUGCUGCCAGAUUCCUUCAUAAUAGCCGCAAAAGUGCUCACAUCACUCCAAUUCUGCGGACCCUUCAUUGGCUGCCUAUUAAAUUCAGAAUUGAUUUUAAAAUUAUUUUAUUUGUAUAUAAAUCUUUAAAUGAUCUAGCCCCUAUUUAUUUAUCUGAAUUACUAUACCCAUAUACUCCAUCCAGACGCUUAAGAUCCAGUGAUCAGAAUCUUCUUCUAGUCCCACAAUCCAGACUCAAACGUAGAGGGGAUCGUGCUUUUUCAGUGGUUGGGCCGCGGCUGUGGAAUAGCCUCCCUUUAGAGAUUAGACUUGCCCCUUCUCUGUCCA